rnacentral:lncRNA from 1 species
GUGGAAUUCUCCUCAGAUGAGACGGAGUCCAGUGGGCAGAGGGGCAACUUAGCAUCCUCUCUUUCCCCAUGUUACCACGAUGCUCUUGGCAGGGACCAUUUGAUGGGGAUUCGGAUGUCUUCCUGGGGUGGUGAGCAGGGGUGAGGGAGGGGGAACUGCUGCUGGGUCAGUAGCUCCUCUCCAGAGUGAGCCCAUCUGUGGAAUGCCAUGCCCCUUCUCUAUCCCAUCUUUGCAAGUGGGCUUGGGUUCUUGGGAUGAGUUCUUCAGGCCUUAUAAAUGCAAACUGUGCAGAGGUGCCUCCAACAAGAAAAACCAGUCUCUGGCAGGGCCCCUAAGGGCAGGAUUCUGGAGAGGCCGCCCUGUCCUCAGUUUGGCCCUGGGACAUUCUGGCCGAAAGUAGGAUGGCUGCGGCAGAGGGAGGAGAGGGGCCUCCCUGUUGAUGGAGGCCACCAUGUAGGGCUUCACUAUGCUUCCCUUUCUGGCUCUCCCAGGGAGGAAGGGUGGCUGGCAGCUGGCGGCAGGGCUUGUGAAGGCUUAGCCCUGGGCCUGGUCCUGCUUCUCUUAGAGGUGGCUGGUUGUGCAAUGGCAUCCUGGCUGCUCCUCUUGGAGCCCUGUGACCACAGUUCCAGGCUCCACCCCCAUUUCUCACCGCCGGUGGUGAGAAAUGGAAUUUUUUUGUUUUGUGUUUUUAUGCUGUUCCCGUAACACCCAGCACCAGUCCCCAAGGAUGAGUGCUGAAGAUCCAUAGCCAUGGCAGGGCAGGGCCUAGGUACUGAAGGAAGAUCCCACUCAGAGUUCAGUUCCACCCACUGCAAAACGCCCUCCGAGGACCCUCACUAGACCAGUUCCUCCAAGUGCGGUCCGCAGGCUGCCAUCAGCGGGAUCACGGGCCUUGUAUGACCUCUGAAAAUAUGACCUGAAGCAGAUGGAUGCACUCACAUAAGAAACAUCACCUGUGGCCUUCAUCGAAAAUGGGCCUGCUGCUUGAAGAAGUUGGGCUCUUGGAGUUCUCUAGCACAGGGGCCAUGAAAAUCAAUGACUUCCUUGUUUGCUGACGGAGCAGAGGUAGAAUCUCUUGGUGUUUCCACGGAGAAAACACUGACCAUGAAGAGCCAAGAAAGAUGACAUGAUGAAGCCAUCAGGGGAAGCACCAAACAUCCUCAACUCUGCUCACCCAUGGUUUUCUCCCGCCCUCCCAGAGCUCCUCCUGCGUGAGUAAUGCAGUGUGUGCUGGUGCAGUGUCUCACUGAAAAAAGAAAGAAACCCUGAUUUGCAGCAUUGGCCAAUUUCUGUAGUGUAAAUACUCCCACCAUAGCAGAUUUCAGGUUACCAAGGGUUUCACAACUGGUUCACAAGUCUUGACUGUAAUGACCAGCUCAUGCAACUCCAGCAUCUCAUCAUCUCCGCCCUGUCCCAGAAAAUCCCCACAUCACACCCAGGCUGAAUAUCACUUUCAGCUUCUCAGUCAGAAGGAGAAGUGGUUAACUAUGCCAGGAUGGUAAUGACUAAAUAUCAGAAUGGUGAGUGUGGAGGGUCAGGAUGUCUGCCAAAUUGGAGAUGACUCUUCACUUCUCAAUCUUGGUGUCUCAUCUGGGGAAGCUGGAGGGAGACAUGCACAGCUUCUCAUGAACAGUCCUGGAAGCCCUUACCCCAAGGCCUCAUGGGGCUCUCUCCAGGGCUUGCUCUUUGUCACUCCUUUAAAAGCCUGUCAUUCAUUGCCAGAGAACAGAAGACUCCAUCCUAAGGCCAAGUUGAAAACGGCAGGCUUGGGAGCUGUCUAGACUCUGGGUCCUGGCUUUUGUCUUGGCUGGUGUCAAAAUGGACUCUUUAAAAACUGUCCUCAGGAAGAUUCCCCAUCCAACUCUGAACAGCCUGGACUGAUCUUUUUCUGAUUUUUAGGGGUCUUGUGAACAAGAGUCAGGUGGGCGGGCAGCUCUUGUAAAGCUGAACAUAACCAAAUUUGUCCAUAGCCUGUGACAGCAAAGAUCACAAAAUUCUUCCCUCCCCUUUAGGGCCUGGGAGUGACGCCGAACCAAGGGGAGGAUAGUGACCUAUUUUAUCUCCCAAACAUUGGGCAGCCAGUUGCAUUUGCAGAUUUAAAAUCCACCCACACUACUGCAGUUUCUGUUCUCCUGCCCCCCCGAGCAUACUUCUGGCUGGAGCUGGUUUUGUAAAGUGGAGUUGGCUGUGGGUGUGGGAGUCCUCCUCGGAGAGCCUGGUCUGACAGCCCCAGUCAACAGCCCUCCCAUGGGCAUUUGGGCUGCUCCAGUCCCGGCAGGUGCACAGCUCAGGGGAAUCUGGUUUUGUCUUGGUCUCAGCCAGGGAAGUCUAGUUAAAGAAAGAAAAGGUUGGCCGGGUGCAGAGGCUCACACCUGUAAUCCCAGC